AGCGAACGCUGGCGGCAGGCUUAACACAUGCAAGUCGAGCGGGCCCUUCGGGGUCAGCGGCAGACGGGUGAGUAACGCGUGGGAACGUGCCCUUCGGUUCGGAGUAACUCAGGGAAACUUGAGCUAAUACCGGAUACGCCCUUAUGGGGAAUGGUUUACUGCCGAAGGAUCGGCCCGCGUCUGAUUAGCUAGUUGGUGAGGUUAUGGCUCACCAAGGCGACGAUCAGUAGCUGGUCUGAGAGGAUGAUCAGCCACACUGGGACUGAGACACGGCCCAGACUCCUACGGGAGGCAGCAGUGGGGAAUAUUGGACAAUGGGGGCAACCCUGAUCCAGCCAUGCCGCGUGAGUGAUGACGGCCUUAGGGUUGUAAAGCUCUUUUCUCCGGGACGAUAAUGACGGUACCGGAGGAAUAAGCCCCGGCUAACUUCGUG
rnacentral:rRNA from 1 species